rnacentral:rRNA from 1 species
AAAUGCGUAGAGAUCUGGAGGAAUACCGGUGGCGAAGGCGGCCCCCUGGACAAAGACUGACGCUCAGGUGCGAAAGCGUGGGGAGCAAACAGGAUUAGAUACCCUGGUAGUCCACGCCGUAAACGAUGUCUACUUGGAGGUUGUGCCCUUGAGGCGUGGCUUCCGGAGCUAACGCGUUAAGUAGACCGCCUGGGGAGUACGGCCGCAAGGUUAAAACUCAAAUGAAUUGACGGGGGCCCGCACAAGCGGUGGAGCAUGUGGUUUAAUUCGAUGCAACGCGAAGAACCUUACCUGGUCUUGACAUCCACGGAAGUUUUCAGAGAUGAGAAUGUGCCUUCGGGAACCGUGAGACAGGUGCUGCAUGGCUGUCGUCAGCUCGUGUUGUGAAAUGUUGGGUUAAGUCCCGCAACGAGCGCAACCCU